GAUGAGUUCAGAUUUCCAAUUCUUCCUUUCUUUCUAACAUCCUCUCCCUAUUGUCCAAUUAGUCUCUUCCUUCUCUUGUUAGGACAAGUCUAAAAUAGAAAGGACAAGUCCAAUUUUAGGACAAGAGUCUAGGAAGAGAAUUAAGGAAGACAAAGAGAGAAGAAAGGUAGGGAUAGGAAGGCUAGGAGAAGAGGAAGAGUGUCUUGAGGUCCUGAUGUUCAAAAAAAUUCUCAGAGUGAGA
rnacentral:lncRNA from 1 species